GACGAACGCUGGCGGCGUGCUUAACACAUGCAAGUCGAACGAAGUGGCGAACGGGUGAGUAAUCCGUGGGUAACCUGCCCUCCUUUUUGGGAUAAGCCUUGGAAACGGGGUCUAAUACCGAAUACAGGGGGAUGGGCUCGCGGCCUAUCAGCUUGUUGGUGGGGUGAUGGCCUACCAAGGCGGUGACGGGCAGCCGGCCUGAGAGGGGGAACGGGAACAGUGAGACUGAGAGACGGCCCAGGCUGGUACGGGAGGCGGCAGUGGGGGAUAUGGCGCAAGGGGCGAAAGGCUGAUGCAGCGGCGCCGCGUGGGGGAUGAAGGCUUUCGGGUGGGAAACCUCUGUCGCAAUGGAACGGGUAGGUGGAGAAAAAGCGCCGGCUAACUACGUGCCAGCAGCCGCGGUAAUUC
rnacentral:rRNA from 1 species